AUAGCGUGUUGUAGUUUUGCUGCUAAUUCCAUUCUCUUCGUUCCCUUAAUUAAUUGGUGCUAAAUUUAAUCUUCGCUAUCGUAUUCGAAGAGGCGCACCGAAGAGAAAGAAAGAGAAUGAAAACCCUUGCGCGUUAGGAGCGUAAAAGAGAAGCUCUCAGCCAAUGAGCGUCGAGAGUGAUUUGGUGAAGAGAAUUCCAACCAAUGAGCUUUAUUUGUGGUACAUAAAAAGAAACAAAGCAAGAUGAGAGAGAGAUG